rnacentral:rRNA from 1 species
AGUGAACGCUGGCGGCAGGCCUAACACAUGCAAGUCGAACGGAAGGACAGUAAGAGCUUGCUCUUACGGGUGGCGAGUGGCGGACGGGUGAGGAAUACAUCGGAAUCUACUUUUUCGGGGGGGAUAACGUAGGGAAACUUACGCUAAUACCGCAUACGACCUACGGGGGAAAGCAGGGGAUAUUCGGAGCUUGCGGGAAUGAAUGAGCCGAUGUCGGAUUGGCUGGUUGGCGGGGUAAAGGCCCACCAAGGCGACGAUCCGUAGCGAGUCUGAGAGGGGGGUGAGCGCCAGGGGAGCUGAGACACGGUCCUGACACUUAGGGAAGGCAGAGGUUGGUAAUGUUGGACACUGGGGGAAAUCCUGCUCCAGCGACACCGCGUGGGUGAAGAAGGCCUGCGGGUUGGAAAGCCCUUUUGUGGGGAAAAACAGGCUUCAGCUUAAUACCCCGCUGUUCGAACGGAACCGAUAAAAUAGGCACGGCCAACUACGUG